GUUCAAACACUGGUUCUUAUACGAUCACCAAAGUUAAGCAACGUUGAGCCUGGUCAGUACCUAGAUGAGUGACUGCUUGGGAAUACCAGGUGCUGUAAA